UACGUAGGGGCCUAGCGUUGUCCGGAAUCAUUGGGCGUAAAGAGCUCGUAGGCGGUUCGGCAAGUCACGUGUGAAAUCUCCACGCUUAACGUGGAGGCGCCACGUGAAACUGCCGUGACUCGAGUCCGGUAGGGGAGUGUGGAAUUCCCGGUGUAGCGGUGAAAUGCGCAGAUAUCGGGAGGAACACCAGUAGCGAAGGCGGCACUCUGGGCCGGUACUGACGCUGAGGAGCGAGAGCGUGGGGAGCGAACAGG
rnacentral:rRNA from 1 species